rnacentral:rRNA from 1 species
GAUGAACGCUGGCGGCGUGCCUAAUACAUGCGAGUCGAGCGAACAGAUAAGGAGCUUGCUCCUUUGACGUUAGCGGCGGACGGGUGAGUAACACGUGGAUAACCUACCUAUAAGACUGGGGUAACUUCGGGAAACCGGAGCUAAUACCGGAUAACAUAUUGAACCGCAUGGUUCAAUAGUGAAAGGCGGCUUUGCUGUCACUUAUAGAUGGAUCCGCGCCGUAUUAGCUAGUUGGUAAGGUAACGGCUUACCAAGGCAACGAUACGUAGCCGACCUGAGAGGGUGAUCGGCCACACUGGAACUGAGUCACGGUCCAGACUCCUACGGGAGGCAGCAGUAGGGAAUCUUCCGCAAUGGGCGAAAGCCUGACGGAGCAACGCCGCGUGAGUGAUGAAGGUCUUCGGAUCGUAAAACUCUGUUAUCAGGGAAGAACAAAUGUGUAAGUAACUGUGCACAUCUUGACGGUACCUGAUCAGAAAGCCACGGCUAACUACGUG